GACGGAGGGUGCUAGCGUUGUUCGGAAUUACUGGGCGUAAAGGGUGCGUAGGCGGCGCGGUAAGUCGGGUGUGAAAUCUCGGGGCUUAACUCCGAAACUGCAUUCGAUACUGCCGUGCUUGAGGACUGGAGAGGAGACUGGAAUUUACGGUGUAGCGGUGAAAUGCGUAGAUAUCGUAAGGAAGACCAGUGGCGAAGGCGGGUCUCUGGACAGUUCCUGACGCUGAGGCACGAAGGCCAGGGGAGCAAACGGG
rnacentral:rRNA from 1 species